rnacentral:rRNA from 1 species
UACGAAGGGGGCUAGCGUUGCUCGGAAUCACUGGGCGUAAAGCGCACGUAGGCGGCUCUUUAAGUCAGGGGUGAAAUCCCGGAGCUCAACUCCGGAACUGCCUUUGAUACUGGGGAUCUUGAGUCCGGAAGAGGUGAGUGGAACUGCGAGUGUAGAGGUGAAAUUCGUAGAUAUUCGCAAGAACACCAGUGGCGAAGGCGGCUCACUGGUCCGGUACUGACGCUGAGGUGCGAAAGCGUGGGGAGCAAACAGG